rnacentral:rRNA from 1 species
AUGAACUAUGAAGUGUUUUCCGUUAUCAAGAGUCCAUCAUUAACCCAAGGAGAGGACAAGGAGGUGUCUGGUGAACUCAACGGCAAUUCACCGAGAUUCCCAAAAGAUGGAUUUCCACCAUUAAGUGAACAAGGAGAUAACAUUUGUCAGAUCAAACGAUAUAAGGAAGUAUGCUCAAGGAAAACAUACACAAUUAAUCAUUGGUUGAGAGGUGCGCCCGAAAUAUGGGUUGGGUUGCACGACCAAUGUCAGAAUGGUGAUUCAAUUAGCGAAGGACUUAGGAUGAACUAUCGCCCAUUCACUUCAAAGCAAUAG